rnacentral:lncRNA from 1 species
CUCUCUCUCUCUCUCUCUCUCUCUCUCUCUCUCUCUCUGUCUAUGUGCCUUUUUCUCAUGGGGGAAAGAGAAAAACUUUCAGAGCAGAGAGCAGGUCAGAAACUUCCAAUCUUCUCUUAAUUUCUACUAAUAAUGGAUCAACUAUAUAUGUUUAUAACAAAUUGAACAAAAUGUUAAUGGUACAAAAUCUUUUGUGCAGGUCUUCUUCAAGUUUAUGCAAACACCAACAGCACCACCACGACGUCUCUCUCUCCAAAAAUUCAAAAUCAUGGGCAAGAAGGUGAUCGGAGCUCCAUUUUGAUGGUGGUUUGGUCAUGUUAGUUAAUUGGGUGCUGUCCUACCUGAGCUUUUCCUCUCCAACUUUUUUUUUUCUUCUUAAUUUUUGACUUGUUGCCUUUUGUUUCCGUGUAGUGUUAAGUUUUCUUGACCUUGUAAGACCUUUUCUUGACCUUGUAAGCCCUGUGCUGUAUCUUCUAUCUUCUUUUUUUGUAUUGUUUUGAAUCUUGUAUGGGUAAUUACCGAUGUGAGGUUCGGUCAUCUAUCUCUUCAUCCCCGCCCAAACCAAGUUCUCCUUCCUUGUCUAUCCCUCCUGAGCUAUUCAAAUUGUAUUUAUUAAUUAACAUUUCUACAUAGGAAAAUUGUAUAAUAAAUUAAGAUCUUGAAAGCUUC